rnacentral:piRNA from 1 species
UAAAUGUUUCCUGCGUGCCCA